rnacentral:sRNA from 1 species
AUGUAUUGGGUUCAGUUGCCUUCGGUGG